CCUACGGGAGGCAGCAGUGGGGAAUUUUCCGCAAUGGGCGAAAGCCUGACGGAGCAACGCCGCGUGAGGGAUGAAGGCCUCUGGGCUGUAAACCUCUUUUCUCAAGGAAGAAGAUCUGACGGUACUUGAGGAAUAAGCCACGGCUAAUUCCGUGCCAGCAGCCGCGGUAAUACGGGAGUGGCAAGCGUUAUCCGGAAUUAUUGGGCGUAAAGCGUCCGCAGGCGGCCCUUCAAGUCUGCUGUUAAAAAGUGGAGCUUAACUCCAUCGUGGCAGUGGAAACUGUUGGGCUAGAGUGUGGUAGGGGCAGAGGGAAUUCCCGGUGUAGCGGUGAAAUGCGUAGAUAUCGGGAAGAACACCAGUGGCGAAGGCGCUCUGCUGGGCCAUAACUGACGCUCAUGGACGAAAGCCAGGGGAGCGAAAGGGAUUAGAUACCCCUGUAGUCCUGGCCGUAAACGAUGAACACUAGGUGUCGGGGGAAUCGACCCCCUCGGUGUCGUAGCCAACGCGUUAAGUGUUCCGCCUGGGGAGUACGCACGCAAGUGUGAAACUCAAAGGAAUUGACGG
rnacentral:rRNA from 1 species